UACGGAGGGUGCAAGCGUUAUCCGGAUUCACUGGGUUUAAAGGGUGCGUAGGUGGGUCUGUAAGUCCGUGGUGAAAUCUCUAGGCUUAACCUGGAAACUGCCAUGGAUACUACAGGUCUUGAAUACUGUGGAGGUCAGCGGAAUAUGUCAUGUAGCGGUGAAAUGCUUAGAUAUGACAUAGAACACCAAUUGCGAAGGCAGCUGGCUACACAAAUAUUGACACUGAGGCACGAAAGCGUGGGGAUCAAACAGG
rnacentral:rRNA from 1 species